GUAACAUGGUAAUUUUAGUGGAAACUGAAAUUUAGUCUUAAGUUUUAUAAUAUUAUAUUGUG
rnacentral:tRNA from 1 species